GGGGGAAAAGAGAUAAGCAUAGGUCCCUCACAAGAUGCCACCCGCUUCAUACAAGUGUCUGGCAGCACUGUGUUACUGUUAAAGCCACCAGCACGAGCACCUGACGAUGCUGAUCCAGACCCAGAGUCAUUGGUGCACUGGACUGCACAAACAUAAGGAUAAAAGCCCCCUCAGGUGCCCAUGAGGCAGAUUUUGUAAAUAUGAAAUCUUUUUACAGCAUUAAUGUUCAGGUGAACAUAACUUUUUGAUCUUUUCCAUUGAACACUGGCAAAAUGGCCUGGCUCAGUCCAUGACUCCAGAAUCUUUUGGACCUCUGAAAUCUAUCAGCGCCUAUCACAAGGUGAAUUCUCUGGUGUGUUGCUGGUAGACAGGGGGUAAGGCUGCCAGCCGUUUUUCCUGACACCUUUCACAGACCCCCAGGAAGCACAGCAGGCCUACAACUAUGCCCAUGCUAGGGCCAGUGUUGAAAUGACCUUUGGACUGGGACAAU